rnacentral:rRNA from 1 species
GCUUGUCUCAAAGAUUAAGCCAUGCAUGUCUUAGUGUAAAUAACUCUUAUGAAACUGCGAAUGGCUCAUUAAAACAGUUAUCGUUCAUUUGGUAAUCAUCUACUACAAGGAUAACUGUAGUAAUUCUAGAGCUAAUACUUGCGUUUUCCCGACUUCUCGGAAGGGAUUGCAUUUAUUAGAUACAAACCAAUCGGUGGUUUACCACUGCUAUAUGGUGAUUCAUAAUAACUAAGCGAAUCGCAUGGGCUCGCCCGGCGAUAGACCUUUCAAGUUUCUGAUCUAUCAGCUAUUGACGGUAGGGUAUUGGCCUACCGUGGCGAUGACGGAUAAAGGGGGAUUAGGGUUCGACUCCUGAGAGGGAGCCUGAGAAACGGCUACCACAUCUAAGGAAGGCAGCAGG